CUGAUUCUAAGUCUUGACUGAACUCUCAGGUAUAUAUAUUUUUGGGUAAGUGAAAGUUUCUUCUUGAAAGACCCUUUGGUGUUGUUAUUGUGAUUGCAUGUUUGGUAUUUCAUUCUUUUUCUGUUCUUAUAUGGUUAUGUGCAUUUUCAAAUUAUUUUUUUUGACAAUUUUUAUCUGGGUUUUGUUCGAACCUUCAAUCUGAGGUUUUUUAUUUUUCUAUGUUUCUCUUCUUGAGGUCGUCCCUCUUUGUAUUUGUAUACAACAAUAUUGAUUGGAAUAUUAUGAAAUUAUAGCUUUCAAAAUAAAUUAUGAAUAUUGUAUUGAGCUACUUGUUGAAUGUGCAAUUUUGGGUUUGGAAGAUUUAGGUCUAACAAAAAAAUAAAAGCUCUUAUCUUUUUUAGACUAUGUGUCAGUUUCAACAUCAAAAUACUUUUUUAAAAUUAGUGAAUGAGUCUUUUUACCAUAUGAUUUUAUAUUUAAACAGAUGGUAGAGUUAAAAUAUUAGAAGAAGAUUAGUGGCAAUAUAUGCUCUUGAGAAAAUUAGAUACUUUGCUGAAUAAGGGAACAUGGUAAGAAAUAAGUUGUUGUAAUGUGUAUCCUAGUCGUAAUAGCUACUGUUAUUCAAGCUUUUAUCAUAAGCAAUCAUUCUUAAUCUUCUCGUAAGGAAGUAUAGUGUAAUUCAGACUAACAAUUGAAAGUUGUUCAUCUUUGCUCUUAAUUUGUUCAUUUUUGUUUAUCUUUCUCUCGUAAAUUGUUCAUAUUUGUUCAUCUUUAAUUAAUUCAAUUAUUUAUUUUUAAAAAAAAUAAUAGGAUGGAUAAAACUUGGUUGAAUAUUAGGAAUAGAGUCGACCAAAGGUAUAGAGAUGGAGUAGACAACUUUCUUAAUUGGGCAUUCAGUCAACCAACAGUGAACACUAUGAUUCGGUGUCCUUCUAAAGGGUGUAUGAACACCGUGUUCAAGCUAAAAUUGGUGUAAGAGGAGACUUAUUGAGGAAAGGUUUCUGGGAUUCUUAUAAAGUGUGGGACUUGCAUGUGAAAGUGUUAGUUAGAGUUGAAACUUCUAAUGUCGUAGUUAAUGAUGAAGCAUAAGAUGAUAGCAUUGAAGAGGAUAAUAUGGCCGAAAUGAUUCACGAUGCUUAUGGAUAUACGAAUGUGGAGGAUAAUAACAAUAAUUUAGAGGACAAUGAAGAGCCAAAUGUACAUGCAAUAAAGUUCUACAAAUUAUUAGAAUAUGCUGAGACAGAACUUUAUCCUGAUUGUAAAAAGGUCUCGAAGUUGUCUUUUGUUGUUAAACUAUUUCACUUGAAGUGCCUGAACCAUUGGAGUAACAAAUAGAUGGAUGCAGUGUUGAGCUUCUUUAAAGAAGUUCUUCCCGAGGGGUCAUUUUUUCCAAAUUCUUUCUAUGAAACAAAGAAAGUUCUUUGUGACCUAGGCUUGGGGUACACCAAACUAGAUGCAUGUCAGAAUGAUUGUAUUUUAUACUGGCGUGAUUAUGCCAAUGUCCAAUCAUAUCCUAAGUGUGGUAAGUCUAGAUGGAAGUCCGAAGAACCUAGAGGCAAGAAAGUAGCUUAUAAAAUCUUGCGACAUUUUCCAAUCAAACCAAGGUUGCAAAGAUUGUACAUGGCAAGAGCGACAGCUAAAAAGAUGAGGUGGCAUAAGGAGGAAAAUAUCGAUGAUAGUGUCUUGCGACAUCCGUCCGACUCAAUGACAUGGAAAUCCUUCGAUGCGUGACAUCCCAUCUUUUCAGCUGAGUUAAGAAAUGUUCGAUUAGGUUUAGCAAGUGACAUGUUCCAACCUUAUGGGAACAUGAAUUCUAAUCAUAGUAUUUGGCCAGUCGUACUAAUGUAUAAUUUGUCACCAUAGGAUUGCAUAAAAAAUCCAUAUUUCAUGAUGACACUUCUUAUUCCAAGCCUUAAGUGUCCAGGCAAUGAUAUAGAUGUAUACUUACAACUAAUUAUUCCAACCAAUUUUGUCCUUAUUAGACUAACAAUGAAAUUAGUUUGUGAUACUUGUAGCUUUAUGUCUAUAUAUAUAUUGUUUUGAAAAUAAUUCUGUAUUGUUGUACUUAUUAGACUAACAAUGGAAUUAUUUUGUGAUGCAUGAAGCUUUAAUUUCAUAAUAGAAUCAGUGGUGAACUAAAGUCAAUACUUUACUCCAAUAUUUUCAUCAAUUUAUUGAUUCAAUUCUCUGCUGUAUCAAUUACUUUUUUCUCUAGUCUGAUCAGUCCCUUCCUUUUUAUUUGAUGUUGCAGAAAAUGAAAGGAACUGGACGAGGUAAAAGUGGCAGAGGCGGGACAGGCUAUAGUCGUGGCAAUAUUCAAGGACGUGGCAAUUCUGUAGCGGCGCCUCAACCACGCAUACAUCCAAUAGGGACUACUGAGGCAUCUCUAGAGAUGAGACAAUCAUGUAACCUGAGUCAAGGACCUAUACAGACAGGACGGAUAUUUGGUAAUACUCUCACUCUCCAAGACUACAUUUAUAUCAUUUCUCACUCAAAGCUUGUACUUUAUUUGUCUAUGCAUAAUUUGGAUAUAACGAAUUUCAUUAUGUUCCUUUCAUUGCUUUCUUCUAGUAGGAACAUGGUACUUCUUAACUAGUAGUGCCGAUCAAGGAUGUCGUUCACCAAGGAGCAAUUACAAGGCACUUAAUAUUUUAUCUUCUUUUUUGGGUCACAUGUCAUAUAUGCAUAUAAUGUCAGUGCACUAUGAAGUAUCAUGUAGUAUAUAUGUAAUUGCUAUUUUAGUAACCGAUCAAGGAUGUCGUCCACCAAGGAGCAAUUAAAAUGCACUUAAUAUUUUGUCUUCUUUUUUGGGUUAUAUGUAUAUGCAUAAAAUGUUAGUGCACAAUGAAGUGUCUUGUAGUAUAUAUGUAAUUGCUAUUUUCAUGAUUGAAAUAUUUAUAAUAUUCGUUUUGAGAAAUUCUUUUGAUGUUUGUUGCAUAUUAUUGAAUACUUUUAAUAUUGGUUGGAAAUUGAUAUGAAUAUCCCUAUAUUAAAUUUUGGAGUAACAUGUUGCUACUGGUAUAUAAUUAUGGUCAUUAUAGUUAUUGAGAAAAUACGUAUUAGUGGUGACAUAAUUUUGUUACAAAAAAGUAGUAUUUGUUGCGAUAUGAAAGUUGACACUGUUGGUUUCUUUGUUUUGUAGCAACUGAGGUCGCUACAAAAAGACAUUAAUUUUUUCACGAAUUUACCAUUUGUGGCGACAAAAGGUUGCCACUAAACAUAUAUUGUUUUGUAGUGAUGGUAGUCGCAGCUAAGGCUCAUAUAUAGUGACGACAAAACUUGCCACUACAUAUGUAAUAUUUUGUAGCGAUAGUAGUCACAACUUAAGGUGAAUAUACAGUGACAACCUAAUUAAAGUUUAUUCUUGUGAAAUUGUUUUUUGUAGCGUAUUUGUAUACUUUUUGUGGCGGCCAGGUCGCUACAAAUGGGGUGCUUUUUUUGGAGAAUCGUAAUAUCACCUCAAAUGACAUUUAGUUAUGGUUCUACUUGCAGCAACACGAAAGUCGCCACUAAUAAGUUUUAGCAGCGACUUUCAUAGAUUUUGCAGCGACUUUGGUCGCCACUAGAAGGCUGAAUUCUUGUAGUGGAUUGAGGCGAUUUUUG
rnacentral:lncRNA from 1 species